CAGAGUGAGUGUUCCGGAGAGCACGUGUUAGGGAAGGAGGAGGCUGCGGGCUAACCUGCCGGGAGGGAGGAUGCUGCUGCCUGUUUCCUAUUAGUGACAACCCACCUCCUAAUCACGUCCUGCUUCAAACAAGAACACUGCCCCUUCCACCUGCGAAGAUGAAGAGUUCAAAGUCCCAGCCAGUUACUACAUUCAGCUCAAAAAACGAGACCUACAAGACUCCAUGGCCGAGUUAAUCGCUGAUGGAGCCUGAACUGAACCCAAAGCCUUCCGGUGAUUCUGAUCACACACUUGGAGCGGCUAGAGAAGACCUAGACAGAUAUAGUCAUCAAAUGGAAAAAUCCUCAACAUCCUUGUGAAUGGCAGCAUGUGAA
rnacentral:lncRNA from 1 species